GAGGAAAAGAAACCAACAGGGAUUGCCUCAGUAACGGCGAGUGAAGCGGCAAAAGCUCAAAUUUGAAAUCCCCCGGGAAUUGUAAUUUGAAGAGAUUUGGGUCCGGCCGGCAGGGGUUAAGUCCACUGGAAAGUGGCGCCACAGAGGGUGACAGCCCCGUGAACCCCCUCAACGCCCUCAUCCCAGAUCUCCAAGAGUCGAGUUGUUUGGGAAUGCAGCUCUAAGUGGGUGGUAAAUUCCAUCUAAAGCUAAAUACCGGCGAGAGACCGAUAGCGAACAAGUACAGUGAUGGAAAGAUGAAAAGCACUUUGAAAAGAGAGUGAAAAAGUACGUGAAAUUGUUGAAAGGGAAGGGCUUGCAAGCAGACACUUAACU
rnacentral:rRNA from 2 species